rnacentral:rRNA from 1 species
ACUGCUCAGUAACACGUGGAUAACCUGCCCUAAGGAAGGGGAUAACCUCGGGAAACUGAGGAUAAUACCCUAUAGGUUACAGACGCUGGAAUGCCCUGUAACCGAAAGUUCCGGCGCCUUAGGAUGGAUCUGCGGCCGAUUAGGUUGUUGUUGAGGUAACGGCCCAACAAGCCGAUAAUCGGUACGGGUUGUGGGAGCAAGAGCCCGGAGUUGGAUUCUGAGACAUGAAUCCAGGCCCUACGGGGCGCAGCAGGCGCGAAAACUUUACAAUGCGGGAAACCGUGAUAAGGGAACCCCGAGUGCCUGUAUAUGCAGGCUGUCCAGGUGUCUAAAAAACACCUGAAGAAAGGGCCGGGCAAGACCGGUGCCAGCCGCCGCGGUAAUACCGGCGGCUCGAGUGGUGGCCACUUUUAUUGGGCUUAAAGCGUUCGUAGCUGGGUUGUUAAGUCUCUUGGGAAAUCUGACGGCUCAACCGUCAGGCGUCCAAGGGAUACUGGCAAUCUUGGAACCGGGAGAGGUGAGGGGUACUUCGGGGGUAGGAGUGAAAUCCUGUAAUCCUCGAGGGACCACCUGUGGCGAAGGCGCCUCACCAGAACGGCUUCGACAGUGAGGGACGAAAGCUGGGGGAGCAAACCGGAUUAGAUACCCGGGUAGUCCCAGCCGUAAACGAUGCGCGUUAGGUGUAUCGGUGACCACGAGUCACCGAGGUGCCGAAGGGAAACCGUGAAACGUGCCGCCUGGGAAGUACGGUCGCAAGGCUGAAACUUAAAGGAAUUGGCGGGGGAGCAC